rnacentral:rRNA from 1 species
UACGUAGGGUGCAAGCGUUAAUCGGAAUUACUGGGCGUAAAGCGCGUGUAGGCGGUCCGGUAAGUCCGCUGUGAAAGUCGAGGGCUCAACCCUCGAAUGCCGGUGGAUACUGUCGGGCUUGAGUACGGGAGAGGCGAGUGGAAUUCCUGGUGUAGCGGUGAAAUGCGCAGAUAUCAGGAGGAACACCGAUUGCGAAGGCAGCUCGCUGGAACGUUACUGACGCUGAGACGCGAAAGCGUGGGGAGCAAACAGG